ACGCCGAGUGAUGUUCAGGUUUACCUUAGAGGUCACAGGGGGUCGGAUCCUACAAAUCCAGAACAGUUGUGUUCUCAGUCAGCUGCUGAGCGUGUGGCCUCAUAUGGUGCUUCCAUGAUGUCGGAGCAUGGGCAAGACUAUGAUUGGAUGAAUCAGCCUAUCGAUCCUCAGGUUGUGUAUGCUAGUGGAGGCGGAAAACCUCAUGGACGUUACCCCAUGUUUGGUAGUGUUAUCGACUCGACUCAGGUGAGGCCUGAAAGGUCUCGUCCAUCGAGGUCGUCUAGCCGUGGUCCUCGCUCUAGUACCCAAGGAAACGCCGAGCUGAUCCGGAUGCAGGAAGCUUUGAGGC